rnacentral:rRNA from 1 species
UACGUAGGGUGCGAGCGUUGUCCGGAUUUAUUGGGCGUAAAGAGCGCGUAGGCGGCUCGGUAAGCCGGAUGUGAAACCUCCAAGCUCAACUUGGAGCGGCCAUUCGGAACUGCUGUGGCUAGAGUCCGGAAGAGGAGAGUGGAAUUCCUGGUGUAGCAGUGAAAUGCGUAGAUAUGCGGAGGAACACCGAUGGCGAAGGCAAUCCCCUGGACCUGUACUGACGCUCAUGCACGAAAGCGUGGGGAGCAAACAGG